rnacentral:rRNA from 1 species
UACGUAGGGUGCAAGCGUUAAUCGGAAUUACUGGGCGUAAAGCGUGCGCAGGCGGUUUUGUAAGUCUGUCGUGAAAGCCCCGGGCUCAACCUGGGAAUUGCGAUGGAGACUGCAAGGCUUGAAUCUGGCAGAGGGGGGUAGAAUUCCACGUGUAGCAGUGAAAUGCGUAGAGAUGUGGAGGAACACCGAUGGCGAAGGAAGCCCCCUGGGUCAAGAUUGACGCUCAUGCACGAAAGCGUGGGGAGCAAACAGG